GCGGCGCGCCUAACACAUGCAAGUCGAACGAGAGAUGAGGAGCUUGCUCUUCAAAUCGAGUGGCGAACGGGUGAGUAACGCGUGAGGAACCUGCCUCAAAGAGGGGGACAACAGUUGGAAACGACUGCUAAUACCGCAUAAGCCCACGGCUCGGCAUCGAGCAGAGGGAAAAGGAGCAAUCCGCUUUGAGAUGGCCUCGCGUCCGAUUAGCUAGUUGGUGAGGUAAUGGCCCACCAAGGCGACGAUCGGUAGCCGGACUGAGAGGUUGAACGGCCACAUUGGGACUGAGACACGGCCCAGACUCCUACGGGAGGCAGCAGUGGGGAAUAUUGCACAAUGGGGGAAACCCUGAUGCAGCGACGCCGCGUGGAGGAAGAAGGUCUUCGGAUUGUAAACUCCUGUUGUUGAGGAAGAUAAUGACGGUACUCAACAAGGAAGUGACGGCUAACUACGUGCCAGCAGCCGCGGUAAAACGUAGGUCACAAGCGUUGUCCGGAAUUACUGGGUGUAAAGGGAGCGCAGGCGGGAGAACAAGUUGGAAGUGAAAUCCAUGGGCUCAACCCAUGAACUGCUUUCAAAACUGUUUUUCUUGAGUAGUGCAGAGGUAGGCGGAAUUCCCGGUGUAGCGGUGGAAUGCGUAGAUAUCGGGAGGAACACCAGUGGCGAAGGCGGCCUACUGGGCACCAACUGACGCUGAGGCUCGAAAGUGUGGGUAGCAAACAGGAUUAGAUACCCUGGUAGUCCACACCGUANACGAUGAUUACUAGGUGUUGGAGGAUUGACCCCUUCAGUGCCGCAGUUAACACAAUAAGUAAUCCACCUGGGGAGUACGACCGCAAGGUUGA
rnacentral:rRNA from 1 species